CCUACGGGUGGCAGCAGUGGGGAAUAUUGGACAAUGGGCGGAAGCCUGAUCCAGCAACGCCGCGUGAGGGAUGACGGCCUUCGGGUUGUAAACCUCUUUCAUCACCGACGAAGCCGCGCCUUUUGGGGUGUGGUGACGGUAGGUGGAGAAGAAGCACCGGCCAACUACGUGCCAGCAGCCGCGGUAAUACGUAGGGUGCGAGCGUUGUCCGGAAUUAUUGGGCGUAAAGGGCUCGUAGGCGGUUUGUCGCGUCGGGAGUGAAAACCGGGUGCUUAACACCUGGCUUGCUUUCGAUACGGGCAGACUGGAGGUAUGCAGGGGAGAACGGAAUUCCUGGUGUAGCGGUGAAAUGCGCAGAUAUCAGGAGGAACACCGGUGGCGAAGGCGGUUCUCUGGGCAUGUCCUGACGCUGAGGAGCGAAAGUGUGGGGAGCGAACAGG
rnacentral:rRNA from 1 species